UCGGGAAUUUUGGGCAAUGGGCGAAAGCCUGACCCAGCAACGCCGCGUGAGGGAUGAAGUAUUUCGGUAUGUAAACCUCGAAAGAAUGGGAAGAAUAAAUGACGGUACCAUUUAUAAGCUCCGGCUAACUACGUGCCAGCAGCCGCGGUAAUACGUAGGGAGCAAGCGUUGUUCGGAUUUACUGGGCGUAAAGGGCGCGUAGGCGGCGCGGUAGGUCACUUGUGAAAUCUCUGAGCUUAACUCAGAACGGCCAAGUGAUACUGCUGUGCUAGAGGGCGGAAGAGGCAACCGGAAUUCUUGGUGUAGCGGUGAAAUGCGUAGAUAUCAAGAGGAACACCUGAGGCGAAGGCGGGUUGCUGGGCCGACACUGACGCUGAGGCGCGAAAGCCAGGG
rnacentral:rRNA from 1 species